UAUGAUCUAUCUAUAAUAUUAUAAACAUACCAAUUAUUUUGGUUAAUUUGACCUGGGUACAUCGCGUGCACCUUCUGAAAUUCUUCCAUCUAUCCAUCGAUAGAAAUCAAACUUAUCUCUAUAAAUUUACCUUACGUUUGUUAUGUCGCUUUUCUCCACGAUUCUAAUGUAUUUACCAAUUGUAUGUUCGUGAUAUGAGUGAACAGUGAACGUUACUGCUUUAUUGUUGGUGUAUUAUGUGUAUAUUCAGUUGAAUACUACUACUUUUCUAACUGUAUCUGAGCAUAUGUUACAGACUCGUUAUUUAAACGUUUUACUUGUGUUUGAUUACUUUGUCUUUAAUUAGACAAUUAAUUAAUAAGAUAACUAAUUACCUUUUAAAACUUCGGUUUUAAUCAGUGUUCAAUUGUAAAGAUCUUUCUAAUUUCUAAUUUCAAAUAUACAUAAUACUGCAGAAUAGUCAAUAGUUUUAUUAUCUUAUUCUAACAGUGAAAUCAUCUAACAAUAUAUCAGAUGUCUAGAAGAUCAGAUGAUAUCAGAUACCAGACGGAUACCAGAUGUUCAACUAAAACAGCGUUUCUGCACGUGCAACGAAAUAUCUGGUGAAGUGAGUCUAGGGAAUACUGGAAGGGGUGUUUACGUAGUCCACUUUACAGACAAAAUGUUUGGCAACUCUGUGGAUAAGAAAAGUUUAUCAGAAGAACUGUUAGGAAGGUGCCAGGAUACAGAAUCUCAGAAGCACAGUAUUCACACCACGUGACACAAACUAACCAAUCAGAGCACAGUAUCCACACAAUUUU